rfam:Canis lupus familiaris chromosome 29, whole genome shotgun sequence.
AGCUUUGCGCAGUGGCAGUAUUGUAGCCAAUGAGGUUUAUCCAAGGCGCAAUUAUUGCUAGUAAGUUAAAGAAAUUAAAUUUAAACAUCCCUCAUUUUUUUAACACAUUUUAUAAAUCCAUUCAGAUUAAUCUGGAAAACUUCAUCAGGAG